GACUUGAGAAAGAAAGAAAAGAAGAAGUUGGUUCUUCUUGGCCGUGAAUUGAAGGAGGAAGAAGAGGGGAAGUUCGGCCAAGGUGAUUCUUGGGAUUAAGUUCACGAGCUCAAGGAAUCAAUCUUGCAUAGCGGGAAGGCGAAUAUAAUUGAAUAGCCAUUUUGAAAUUGAUCAACAGUAUCCGAGAUCUCAUUUGGAAGCUACAGGCUCGGGGAUCGUCAGCAACUAGUCACACUAUCACUAUCCACUGUUUGGUACUGCUAUGUUUUGGAAUAUCUUAUGGCAUGUAUAGAAUAGACUAGUAGUGAGAGGAUAUUUGGUCAUGUACCCAUGGAUUUUGUGUAAAUUUGGAUAGCCAUGCGAAAAUGGCUUAUAUACGUUUUUAGCAUAGUACUAUAAUCGUGUUGUAUGUUGAUCAUUAAGAAGUAUGGAAGUGUUUGGAAA